GACGAACGCUGGCGGCGUGCUUAACACAUGCAAGUCGAACGGUGAACCACUUCGGUGGGGAUCAGUGGCGAACGGGUGAGUAACACGUGGGCAACCUGCCCUUAGCUCUGGGAUAACCCCGGGAAACCGGGGCUAAUACCGGAUACGACCUCGAGCGGCAUCACUCGAGGUGGAAAGAACUUCGGCUAAGGAUGGGCCCGCGGCCUAUCAGCUUGUUGGUGGGGUAAUGGCCUACCAAGGCGACGACGGGUAGCCGGCCUGAGAGGGCGACCGGCCACACUGGGACUGAGACACGGCCCAGACUCCUACGGGAGGCAGCAGUGGGGAAUAUUGCGCAAUGGGCGAAAGCCUGACGCAGCGACGCCGCGUGAGGGACGAAGGCCUUCGGGUCGUAAACCUC
rnacentral:rRNA from 1 species